rnacentral:rRNA from 1 species
AACGAACGCUGGCGGCAGGCUUAACACAUGCAAGUCGAACGCCCCGCAAGGGGAGUGGCAGACGGGUGAGUAACGCGUGGGAAUCUACCCAGUUCUACGGAACAACUGAGGGAAACUUCAGCUAAUACCGUAUACGCCCUAAGGGGGAAAGAUUUAUCGGAAUUGGAUGAGCCCGCGUAAGAUUAGCUAGUUGGUGGGGUAAUGGCCUACCAAGGCGACGAUCUUUAGCUGGUCUGAGAGGAUGAUCAGCCACACUGGGACUGAGACACGGCCCAGACUCCUACGGGAGGCAGCAGUGGGGAAUAUUGGACAAUGGGCGCAAGCCUGAUCCAGCCAUGCCGCGUGAGUGAUGAAGGCCUUAGGGUUGUAAAGCUCUUUCAGUGGGGACGAUAAUGACGGUACCCACAGAAGAAGCCCCGGCUAACUUCGUGCCAGCCGCCGCCGUAAAAC